AGUAACGCGUGGGUAACCUGCCCUUAAGUCUGGGAUACCAUUUGGAAACAGAUGCUAAUACCGGAUAAAAGCUACUUUCGCAUGAAAGAAGUUUAGAAGGCGGCGUAAGCUGUCGCUAAAGGAUGGACCUGCGAUGCAUUAGCUAGUUGGUAAGGUAACGGCUUACCAAGGCGAUGAUGCAUAGCCGAGUUGAGAGACUGAUCGGCCACAUUGGGACUGAGACACGGCCCAAACUCCUACGGGAGGCAGCAGUA
rnacentral:rRNA from 1 species